UGAGAAUGCGUAAAUUAUUUCUAAAGUAUUUAUCAUGAUAUCCCCUGAAUUUAGACAAGUGCCUAGCACCUAGCAUGUUUUAUAUGCUGAAAAGGGUUGUGUGUAUGUGUGUGGGUUGAGAUGGAUAAAAGGAAAAAGGAAGAGAUAAAGUGGGAAAAUGAAAACGAUGCUGAGUAUCAGUUCUAAAAAGUGGUAUGUGGCCACUUUUAAGAGAACUACAUGGAUCCCUGAACUGGAAGAAUAGGCUGGUGAACAGAGGACAGAUCGAUGUGAGUUUUCAAGACUAGGGCGGUGCACUCUGCAAGGAUGCUUUUCCUUAGAGAAUUGCCCCUCCCCCAAACUGUCCCAGAGGCACUGUCAGUCACAUGGCCACCAGCUUCCCUACUGCAGGCCUGCAGAGUUUUCCAUAUCCCCAUGCAAGGUGGAGAGCAUCUGCUUAAGACUAAAUCCAACACAAAGAAAGAAGAGCUGUGAAAUUGUGGUUUGGAGAGGGAAUGAGAGAAAAAUGACAAGAAUGGGCAUAAUUAUUUUGGUACCUGAAUUCAGCUACAUCUGGCCAGCCUGCCUCCAUACUUUUCAGUUUUGUUAUUCAAUAAAAUACUUUUCCCCCCUAAUACUAGUUUGAGUUGGCUGUCACUUACCAGAGGAAUAGUUUGUAUUCACACAGAUUUAAAAUGAUGAUCUUUCUACUAACCAUAACAAUCUUUAACCAUAAUUUUUUUUUCAAUUUUUUAAUGUUUUAUUUUAUUAUUAAGAGACAGAUAGAGACAGAGCAUGAGCAUGGGAGGGGCAGGGAGGGACAGAGACACAGAAUCUGAAGCAGGCUCUAGACUCAGCUGUUAGCACAGAGCCUGACACGGGGCUCAAACUCACAAACUGCGAGAUCAUGACCUGGGCUGAAGUCGGACGCUUAACCGACUGAGCCACCUAGGCG
rnacentral:lncRNA from 1 species